rnacentral:lncRNA from 1 species
UUAGAUUAAAAAUAAAUGAUUUAAUAAUAAAUAAAAAUUCAAAAAAUAAAAAAAUACAAAUUUUGAUUUUAAGAUAAUGUAAUUGAAGUUAAAACAUAAAAAGGAGAAAAAUUAUAAAAGUGGGGAGAGUGAUUCAAACUCAAGACCUCUCUCUUGUAUAUCAUUGCACAUGCUCUUCUACCUAUUAUGCUCUUUUAUUUAUUCGAAAUAAAGUGACACUAGAAAACAUACGAAGGAUGAACAAAAUUU